ACUCCCUCUGUCACUUUGUCAAUGGACUUACAGCUUCAUCAGUUAUUCAAGUGGGGUGAGGGAAACAUCCUUUUAAGACUCAGGCAAAUGGAGUGCUUCUCUUAUAAACAUUUGAGGAAAAUAAAU
rnacentral:snoRNA from 1 species